AUUUUUUAUAUGAAUAAACAGGCCUAGAGGGGUGACUAAUUGACCCAAGGCCAUAUAAUGAGGACGAGGUGGAGGCAGCACUUGAACCUGACUGUCUGCUCCGGGGCUGUGCUAAGCCACCUCCUCUGAUGACUCACCUGGGCAAGCCCUGCUGCUGAGAAAAGAGACAGCGCGAAGGAGGAACAGAAAGAACAGUGGGGCAGGACACUGGACAUUCUAUCUUUCCUGGGUACUUUUCCAGCUUUCCGAUUGUGCGGCCAUAAACGUGCUUCACUUCAACUAAGAAAUCCGGAGCUGAGAAGCGACAGGAGCCGGGUUGUGGGGGCAGGGACGGGCGUGCCCGUGAGCAGCUGGGCCUCGCCCUGGCACUUGCCCCCUGUCCUGUGCUGCCAGUGAGGCUGCCCUGUGUGGGCCGCCCGCACCCACAGAACAUUCCCAGGCAUCACCAAGGUCAAAAGGCAGCGUGAAGCUGGGGCUUUGGCCUUUUCCCACAGCCCGAGGCCCGGGCCCCCAAGCUCUUCUCUACCGGCAGCCCGCUCCCUGCUGCACCGUUGUGGCCUGGCGUGCCCAGGGCACUCAUCUGCUUCAGCGUCUGAGUUCCAGGCUUUGUGGUCAGCUGGGCUGGCACCGGGCGCAUUGCAAUCCUGCAUUCUUCCUCAGUUACUCAGCUGCCAAAGGCUGGUCCUGGAACGACGCUGCCUUUCCACAGAACUAUUAAGUGUUCUGGGUCAGGGACUGAUAAGGCUGGUUUAUUUGCCUUUGACAACGAUCACACCUGCGGAAGGUGGAGACCACUGUCAGGGCUGCCAACAGGUGGAAGAAUGAAUGCACGAAAGGUGGUCCAGCCCACAAUGGGGUAUAACUCAGCCAUGAGAAGGAACGAAGCUCUGACACACGCCACAAGGUGGAUGCACCGCAAAAACACGAUUCUCAGUUAAAGAAGGGCCUCCCUACCCUGGAGGUCCAGAUGGUUCUGGCAAUCGGCUAUCACCACGGGUCAGUGGACUGGGUCCUGGAAGGCACCAGCCAUGGAGCACUAACCGCAGAGCUGGACUCCAGACCCGGCUGCGCCCGCCCACCCAACACACCGGCCACUGCUGACCCUCUGUCCCUGGCCAGCCACCCUCACGGCCUCUGCCCUCCCUCCCUGGCCAGCCACGCUCACGGCCUCUGCCCUCCUGGAGCUGAACAUUCUGUGGGGACGAGAGCCAUAAACAUAAAACUGGCCAAUGAAUAGAAUUUGUGAUUUUUUUCAAAGCCAAAUGGGAGAAGAAAAAUACACCAAAGUGGCCAGUCGCCUAUUAGCCCUGAUUUAUAUUCUACUUUAACGUCUCGUCCAAGGAAAUGAAAGGUAUGUGUUCAUCAAAUAUAAUCAUGUAGAGCUUUGAAAGGGGAAGAGAAACGGCUCUGUGACAACUCCCCAGGCCUGCAGAGAAUAGCAGGAGACGUGUCACGAUCAAGCCAGCUAGCUCCUCCGGCAGCCACCCCGGGGACAGGUGGCCAGCCGUGGUUUUUCCCUUGUCAGCUACUCUCCAGCGGGAGGUACGCUGCCACAGUGUGGUCCAUGCAAGGGACAGACACACAGCAACACCCGGACGGCAGGUACGGAAGCCACAGCAUCGCAGGCCAACCUGGGCCAGGCUUGCGAGGAGCCCUCCAGCAAACCCUUUGAGGAAGGUGAGCGCGGUGACUCACAUGAAACUGACGGGACUUGCGUCUCACUCGCUUUGGUGACAGCACCGAAGUUGAGGCAGGGGGCUGCCGCUGAAGACCUGGGGCUGGGUCUCAGCUCCCUGGUGUCCCCUGCCGAAGUGCUGCAGCCUAAACCACCCAAUGUCUGGGGCCUCUGCGGGAACUCCUCGUCUCCCUGGAGUUCUCGCAGGGAGAAGGGCAUCGGGUGGGCGCUGCCCUGAGGCUGUGCAGAGACUGAGGACAGAGGCGCAGAGACUGAGGACAGAGGCGCAGAGACUGAGGACAGAGGCUCACUCCUCACUGGGUGAAGGCUGAAUGAAGGCGCCAUGUGAAGGGGACACUCCAGGUCCCCACGGGAGUGACACUCUUCCUGGGGGGAGGAAGAUACCCAAAUAUCUGGCUGGGUAUAGAGCCGCCAGGCCACGGAGGCUAAUGUGACGGGGCAGAGCGGGGCAGCGGGGAUCAGGGAAGGCCUCGCUGAGGAGGCGGCACGCAGACUGAAGCCCGAGUGAUCAUCAGGAAGUGGCCACACGCGUGCAGGGCCAAGGCCCUGGGGCAGGAGAGAGCAGUGAGCUCCCGCGGUGGUUCUCAAAGCAUGAGCUGGGGAACCCUGGGGGCGCCUCCCAGGGUCAGAACUCUCAUAAAGAUGACGACGGCCUUUUCCUUUUACACUCCUUCUCCCAGGAGGACGCAGAGGAGCUUUCCGGAGUCCAUGCCAGCAUGACAGAUUGAAAGCAGCAGCAGCUAUGAGAAAGCCCAGCUGUUGUCUAUUAAGCCAGAUAUUAAGGAGACUUGCAAAAAUAUAAUAUUCACUUUUGUUUUGUUUUGCAAAACAGACUUAUGGUUCAUAAAGAACUAUGUUAUUUACUGCUUUACAUAGGAUGGGUUAUUGUUAUUUUUUAAACAAAUACAUUUUAAAAGUAUUUCUCAGUUUUAAUUUCCAAUAGCUGAAAUAUGGGUAAGUAUAAUCCACACACACUAAAGAUCUUUGGGUUCCUUAAUACUUUUCAAAAAGUAUAAAGUGGCGCUGGGCCUGCCCUUGUGAUCCAGUGGCUAGGACUCCACGCUUCCACUGCAUGGAGCAUGGGUUCGAUCCUCUGUCGGGGAACUAAGAUCCCACAUGCCACACAGCCAAAAAAAAAAA